rnacentral:rRNA from 1 species
AGUCACUGACAUUAGAUACCCCCGUAGUCCAGGGUGUAAACGCUGCAGACUUGGUGUUGGGAACCCUUCGGGGGUGCUCAGUGCCGGAGAGAAGUUGUUAAGUCUGCUACUUGGGAGUACGUCCGCAAGGAUGAAAUUUAAAGGAAUUGGCGGGGGAGCACCGCAACGGGAGGAGCGUGCGGUUUAAUUGGAUUCAACGCCGAAAAACUCACCAGCAGCGACUGUUACAUGAAAGUCAGGUUGAUGACCUUACUAGAUUUUCAG